UUAAAUUGAAGAGUUUGAUCAUGGCUCAGAUUGAACGCUGGCGGCAGGCCUAACACAUGCAAGUCGAACGGUAACAGGAAGAAGCUUGCUUCUUUGCUGACGAGUGGCGGACGGGUGAGUAAUGUCUGGGAAACUGCCCGAUGGAGGGGGAUAACUACUGGAAACGGUAGCUAAUACCGCAUAACGUCGCAAGACCAAAGAGGGGGACCUUCGGGCCUCUUGCCAUCGGAUGUGCCCAGAUGGGAUUAGCUAGUAGGUGGGGUAACGGCUCACCUAGGCGACGAUCCCUAGCUGGUCUGAGAGGAUGACCAGCCACACUGGAACUGAGACACGGUCCAGACUCCUACGGGAGGCAGCAGUGGGGAAUAUUGCACAAUGGGCGCAAGCCUGAUGCAGCCAUGCCGCGUGUAUGAAGAAGGCCUUCGGGU
rnacentral:rRNA from 1 species